ACGUCUUUGGAGCGUGGGAGGAAACCGAAGAUCUCGGAGAAAACCCACGCAGGUCACAGGGAGAACGUACAAACUCCGUAUAGACAGCACCCGUAGUCGGGAUCGAACCCGGGUCUCCGGCGCUGCAAGCACGGGGAAAGAAACUCCUCACAUUGACCACAGGAUCUCUUGGACAACUGACAAGCCAGCGGUAUGAAGAUGCUGCCUCACACCCACUGAGUUCCUCUAACACUCUGUGUUUGCUGUAGAGGGUUAACCCUGCAGCCCGCUCACCUCACUAAAAAACAGGUUUGUAGAUCGGAAUAAUAGAUGGUUACUAAAAUAUACCUCAACGUUGACUAGUGAAGCUGAAAUGCCGGCUGCUAUGUGAUUAAUAUAAAUAUCAACUUACAAUGAGCAAGAAAUGCAAGUUAUAAAGGUAGAGAAUACUCACUGUGGCUAAUCUUC